CCCCACAGGAACUUCUGCAGGUGUGACUGAACUCUGAACGUGAGCUACAGCAUGGAAGCCAAAGGAGGAACCGUGAAAGCUGCUUCAGGAUUCAACGCAACUGAAGAUGCCCAGACCCUGAGGAAGGCCAUGAAAGGCCUCGGUACUGAUGAAGAUGCCAUUAUCGGAAUCUUAGCCUACAGAAACACCGCCCAGCGCCAGGAGAUCAGGAGUGCCUACAAGAGCACCAUUGGCAGGGACCUGAUUGAGGACUUGAAGUCGGAGCUGAGCAGCAACUUUGAGCAGGUGAUCCUGGGGCUGAUGACACCCACAGUGCUGUAUGACGUACAGGAGCUGCGGAGGGCCAUGAAGGGAGCUGGCACGGACGAGGGCUGUCUGAUUGAGAUCCUGGCCUCUCGUACCCCUGAGGAGAUCCGUCGAAUCAACCAGACAUACCAGCAGCAAUAUGGAAGGAGCCUUGAAGAGGACAUCUGCUCUGACACAUCCUUCAUGUUCCAGCGAGUACUGGUGUCCCUGUCGGCGGCUGGCAGGGAUGAAGGAAAUUACCUUGAUGAUGCUCUUAUGAAGCAGGACGCCCAGGUCUUUCAACACUCCUGGAUUCCAGAUCUCUUCCUCACACUGAGGACACAACAAGGAUCCUAGGGAAGCACCAAGCCUCCCCCUCCUCUCUCUCUCUCUCUCUCUCUCUCUCUCUCUCUCUCUCUCUCUGUGUGUGUGUGUGUGUGUGUGUGUGUGUGGCCAAGGAACGGAACCCAGGACGUGCCCCACGCUAUGCAAGUGCUCAGCGCUGAAUGUCACAGAGGGAAGGAGCUGCCUCUGCUCUUCAUACUUCCCUAAAGAGAACAUGAGGUGGGACCUGUGAACACCAUGUGACUUUCAAAAGAGAGCUGCUGCCCUGGCACUCAGCACACUGACGGCUGUCCUGACAUUUGUCCCUGUGGCCAAGUAGCAUACAAACCCUGGGCCUUUUGUAAAGCCCAGCAUGCCCACCUAGUCUUUCUUAGGCAUACCAUUGAAUCAUUGAAUCCUUUUUUUUUUUUAAGAUUUACUUAUUUUGUGUAUCUGAGUACACUGUAGCUGUCUUCAGACACACCAGAAAAGGGCAUCAGAUUCCAUUACAGAUGGUUGUGAGCCACCAUGUGGUUUCUGGGAAUUGAACUCAGGACCUCUGGAAGAAGAGUCAGUGCUCUUAACCACUGAGCCAUCUCUCCAGGCCACCAUUGAAUCCUGAUACCAACCUUAGGACUUUAACCCCCAUUUUACAGGAACUGUAUGAGGCUGGAGAGAAGAGAUGGGGGACAGACGAGGUGAAAUUCCUAAGCAUUCUCUGUUCCCGGAACCGGAACCAUCUGCUCCACGUGUUUGAUGAAUACAAAAGAAUCUCACAGAAGGACAUUGAACAGAGCAUUAAGUCUGAGACAUCUGGAAGCUUUGAAGAUGCCCUGUUGGCUAUAGUGAAGUGCAUGCGGAGUAAACCUUCAUAUUUCGCUGAGAGACUUUAUAAAUCCAUGAAGGGCUUAGGCACUGAUGACAACACCCUCAUCAGAGUGAUGGUCUCAAGAGCAGAGAUUGACAUGCUGGACAUCCGGGCGAGCUUCAAGAGGCUCUACGGGAAGUCUUUGUACUCUUUCAUCAAGGGUGACACUUCCGGAGACUACAGGAAGGUUCUGCUCGUUCUCUGUGGAGGAGAUGAUUAACACAAGACGCCGCAGGACAGAAGGCUUCUGAACACUGAUCUUUUUUUUUUUUUUAACUUCAUUUUUCUGCACUGCUAUUAACAUUAUCUCAAAUGCUUAUUUCCAAUUAAAACGCCUCCAGUUGCCUCCUGGGAUGCAGACUAUGUUAUUAUCGUCUAUAAUUAGUCAUUUUGAUGCCUUAAACUUGUACUUUCAAAGCUUUCAAGACAUACAUGGAAAUUUAGAAUUAGAAAUUGAAAUGUGCUCCACGUCUUUAUCAGAUUAUUUCCUCGUUUGUGUUUUGUAGAGGUUGAAUGUACUAAAUCCUUUUAGAUUUUCUUUUCAGUACAAAUUUUACAGAUCAGAAGCCAUUUUCUUCCCUAGGAAGCCAGUCAUUUCUUCACGUGGGACUGUCAGCAUCUCUUACUAAGAUUAGCCAUCUAGAUUCUUAUUUUAGACAGAUCCAAAGUUCUCACAAGCCCCCUUUCUUUGGCUCUGCCUAUCAUCGUAGUUGACAGUUGCUGAAUAUGGUGGGGCUUGCUUCAUCUCCUUCUACCCUGAGACCAUUUUCUUCCCGGGAAGUGUAUGAAACAGAGUUACCAACUCAUCAAACAAGUUCAAUCUCAAGUGUGGCUCAGCAGAUCCCGUGUGCUCGGUCGUUCCUCGUGCUGAACAUUCCUCAGUCUUAGGGUCACUGUCCUAAUCUUGCUCAAAGUGACAGUCAAGAGUGGCCUCAGCCAAGGUUGCUCUGAUAAUGCAAUGCUCUGGGUGUGGCUGACCUCAGAAGAGUUUUUCUGCUAAAAAUAAUUAAUCUCGUUAGACUGUUUAUUUGAUCCCCACUGUGCCUUUUUAAUCUUAUUCAGAAACUGUGCUUGCAUUUAAUCAUGAAGUUUGGUUUGUAUACAACAUGAGACAUUUUUAAUUAAAAUGGUGGCUUUAAAGGGG